UACGGCGGAGGCAAGCGUUAUCCGGAAUUAUUGGGCGUAAAGCGUCCGUAGGUGGUUGGCCAAGUCUGCUGUCAAAGGGUGGGGCUUAACCUCAUAAAGGCAGUGGAAACUGGCGAGCUAGAGUGCGGUAGGGGUAGGGGGAAUUCCCAGUGUAGCGGUGAAAUGCGUAGAGAUUGGGAAGAACAUCGGUGGCGAAAGCGCCCUGCUGGGCCUGCACUGACUCUGAGGGAUGAAAGCUAGGGGAGCGAAAGGG
rnacentral:rRNA from 1 species